rnacentral:sRNA from 2 species
UAUAUAGUUUUCUAGGGUUCCGCAGUUUAUAUUUGGUCAGGUCUAAAAGAAAACACAAUUAAUUGUGUACACGGAAGGAUAAAAGCCUGGGAGAU